rnacentral:rRNA from 8 species
UUCGGCGGCCAUAGCGAGAGGGAAACGCCCGGUCCCAUUCCGAACCCGGAAGCUAAGACUCUCAGCGCCGAUGGUACUGCAAGGGGGACCUUGUGGGAGAGUAGGACACCGCCGGAC